rnacentral:misc_RNA from 1 species
GAUGAAGAACGUAGCGAAAUGCGAUAAGUAAUGUGAAUUGCAGAAUUCAGUGAAUCAUCGAAUCUUUGAACGCACAUUGCGCCCCUUGGUAUUCCGAGGGGCAUGCCUGUUCGAGCGUCAUUAUAACCCCUCAAGCUCAGCUCGGUGUUGGGGCCUGCUGCACUGGCAGCCCUUAAAAUCAGUGGCGGCGCCAUCUGGCUCUAAGCGUAGUAAUUCUUCUCGCUAUGGAGUCCUGGUGGAUGCUUGCCAUCAACCCCCAAUUUUUCUAUGGUUGACCUCGGAUCAGGUAGGGAUACCCGCUGAACUUAAGCAUAUCAAUAAGCGGAGGA